rnacentral:rRNA from 1 species
UACGUAGGGUGCAAGCGUUGUCCGGAAUUAUUGGGCGUAAAGAGCGUGUAGGCGGCCCGAUUAGUCCGCUGUGAAAGUCCAGGGCUCAACCCUGGAAUGCCGGUGGAUACUGUCGGGCUAGAGUCCGGAAGGGGCGAGUGGAAUUCCUGGUGUAGCGGUGAAAUGCGCAGAUAUCAGGAGGAACACCAAUGGCGAAGGCAGCUCGCUGGGACGUGACUGACGCUGAGACGCGAAAAGCGUGGGGGAGCGAACAGG